AACAGGAUUAGAUACCCUGGUAGUCCACGCCGUAAACGAUGUCGACUUGGAGGUUGUUCCCUUGAGGAGUGGCUUCCGGAGCUAACGCGUUAAGUCGACCGCCUGGGGAGUACGGCCGCAAGGUUAAAACUCAAAUGAAUUGACGGGGGCCCGCACAAGCGGUGGAGCAUGUGGUUUAAUUCGAUGCAACGCGAAGAACCUUACCUACUCUUGACAUCCACGGAAUUCGGCAGAGAUGCCUUAGUGCCUUCGGGAACCGUGAGACAGGUGCUGCAUGGCUGUCGUCAGCUCGUGUUGUGAAAUGUUGGGUUAAGUCCCGCAACGAGCGCAACCCUUAUCCUUUGUUGCCAGCGAUUCGGUCGGGAACUCAAAGGAGACUGCCGGUGAUAAACCGGAGGAAGGUGGGGAUGACGUCAAGUCAUCAUGGCCCUUACGAGUAGGGCUACACACGUGCUACAAUGGCGCAUACAAAGAGAAGCGACCUCGCGAGAGCAAGCGGACCUCAUAAAGUGCGUCGUAGUCCGGAUCGGAGUCUGCAACUCGACUCCGUGAAGUCGGAAUCGCUAGUAAUCGUGGAUCAGAAUGCCACGGUGAAUACGUUCCCGGGCCUUGUACACACCGCCCGUCACACCAUGGGAGUGGGUUGCAAAAGAAGUAGGUAGCUUAACCUUCGGGAGGGCGCUUACCACUUUGUGAUUCAUGACUGGGGUGAAGUCGUAACAAGGUAACCGUAGGGGAACCUGCGGCUGGAUCACCUCCUU
rnacentral:rRNA from 1 species